AUACGGAGGAUCCGAGCGUUAUCCGGAUUUAUUGGGUUUAAAGGGUGCGCAGGCGGGAGAUUAAGUCGGCGGUGAAAUUUUGCAGCUCAACUGUAAAAGUGCCUUCGAAACUGGUUUCCUUGAGUGUAGAUGAAGUAGGCGGAAUUUGUGGUGUAGCGGUGAAAUGCAUAGAUAUCACGAGGAACUCCGAUUGCGCAGGCAGCUUACUAAACUACUACUGACGCUCAGGCACGAAGGCGUGGGGAUCAAACAGGAUUAGAAACCCUGGUAGUCCACGCAGUAAACGAUGAUUACUAGCUGUUUGCGAUACAAUGUAAGCGGCUGAGCGAAAGCGUUAAGUAAUCCACCUGGGGAGUACGUUCGCAAGAAUGAAACUCAAAGGAAUUGACGGGG
rnacentral:rRNA from 1 species